AUAUCAAUAAGCGGAGGAAAAGAAACUAACAAGGAUUCCCCUAGUAACGGCGAGUGAAGCGGGAUGAGCUCAAAUUUAAAAUCUGGCUGGUUUACUAGUCCGAAUUGUAGUUUAAAGAAGCGUUUUCGGUGGCAGCCUGGGUAUAAAUCCUUUGGAAUAGGGUAUCAUAGAGGGUGAGAAUCCCGUCUUUGACUCAGUGAAUGCUACUAUGUGAUACGUUUUCAAAGAGUCGAGUUGUUUGGGAAUGCAGCUCAAAAUGGGUGGUAAAUUUCAUCUAAAGCUAAAUAUUGGCGAGAGACCGAUAGCGAACAAGUACCGUGAGGGAAAGAUGAAAAGAACUUUGAAAAGAGAGUUAAACAGUACGUGAAAUUGUUGAAAGGGAAACGUUUGACACCAGUCAUGCGGGUGGAAAAUCAGUCUUUUAGAGUAGGGAGUGGUGGGGGUUCGGACCGCAAGGCUGGCCUUUAUCUCAUCUCUGCGCUAAUGGAUGCACUUUUUCAUUUGCAGGUCAACAUCAGUUUCUUCUGCUGGACAAAACUCCGAGAGAAGGUAGCAGCUUUGGCUGUGUUAUAGCUCUGGAGCGAUACAGUGGAGGGGACUGAGGUUUUCGCAGUGUGUGCUCUCGGGCAAGGUUGAUUAGGUGCUAUGUGAUCGUUCGGUGUACAAUGCAUGCAUUUUGCGCUGUGUCUUUUGCAUACUCGCCUGACUCGACUCUUCCACGCUUAGGAUGUUGACUUAAUGGUUUUAAACGA
rnacentral:rRNA from 1 species